rnacentral:rRNA from 1 species
GCGGCAAACGGGUGAGUAAUAUCUGGGAAUCUACCCAAAAGAGGGGGAUAACUACUAGAAAUGGUAGCUAAUACCGCAUAAAGUUGAAAAACCAAAGUGGGGGACCCUUAUAGGCCUCAUGCUUUUGGAUGAGCCCAGACGAGAUUAGCUUGUUGGUAAGGUAAAAGCUUACCAAGGCUUCGAUCUCUAGCUGGUCUGAGAGGAUAACCAGCCACACUGGAACUGAGACACGGUCCAGACUCCUACGGGAGGCAGCAGUGGGGAAUAUUGCACAAUGGGCGCAAGCCUGAUGCAGCUAUGCCGCGUGUAUGAAGAAGGCCUUAGGGUUGUAAAGUACUUUCAGCGGGGAGGAAAAAAACAAAACUAAUAAUUUUGU